CAGGCAAAAGCUAAAAGGAGAAAGCAGACUGAUGACUGUCACCUGACUGCCAGUCUUCUAAAACAAUGCUCCCUCCAAGAAGACCUGCACUGCUGCCUAAAAGCUAAUGUGCCUAAAAUCACAGUGUCCAGGAAGAUUUUACCUUGGAAAGAUGGCAGCAACCAUCUGAAGAACAACAGCGUGUCUCUGCUGCACAGUUACCAGCAGUACUGCAUGCGUUCACCCCAGUGCACGCCAGCUCCGAAGGCAAAUGCUGCCUUUCCUGCUCCAAAUGGUCAAAGGUUUGAUUUAAAACUCAGAGAAGAUUCCAGAAGAAACAGCAAACUGCAACUUGCCACAAGUAAAACGCACUCUUGAAAGCACACUGCAUUCACCACAGCAAUGGUGAGAACAGAGAGUGUUCAUGGUGAAUCUCUGUGCUACAUGAAAGUGGUCUAUGUAAAGCUUAUAUCCAAGAGAUCUGAAUUCAGUUUUGAUGUGCUGUUGAUUUUGUUCACUUUUGCAACAUUUGAUAGAACUGCUGUUAUUUAUUUAAUCACUGCCGCAGACCCAAUACCAGCUGCAGAUAAAUCAACAAGAACAUUCUUGUUAUUCUGGCAUGCCUUCUGUAAGCUCUUAUAAAAGAGAUUUCCAUUCUUGCAUGCCUAGGAAUAAAAGUUCCAUCAAUCAGAAUCAUUCAUCAGUUUUGUAAUGCCCCUCUGCCUGACCUUCAUUGCCUCAUGCAACAAGCAACCUGCUGAGUCUUCUUCUGCAAGGAAGAAGCCUAUUCAUCUAAUCCAUCAAACAGAAAAGGAGUAGUCAUUUUGGUCAAAUUCAUGGAAAAAGCAUGCUGUGGUGGCUAACUGAACCCCAGGAUCCAAAUCAACUUCAAACUCUUACCUUCCAGUACACAACAGGGGCAAUAGUGCAGUAAUCAGACAAGCAGGCAGCUGACAGCUGCAUUUAAAUAGAUUGGGCCUGAUCAUCUUAAGGCCAAUGUUGUAAUGAAAGGACUACAAGAAAGAAUUAUUUUAGAAUUACAUCCCAUAGAUGCUGCUUAUGAUAUUUUUUCAAGAACAUUUACAGUAAUAUCCUCCUUUAGGAUAGGCAGCAAAAGUUAUAUGUUUCAUUUUUCAAAGUUAUAUUUUUCAAAAGUUAUAUUUUUCAUUUUUCACAGCAUCAGAAAACUUCACUUGGGUAUGACAUAAAAGAAUUAAAAUGGAUUGGGUGAUUUUGAGUAUGCCUUUGGUGAUUUAAUCAUAUUCAAAACUACUGCUGAGAGAAGGCCGAUUCUAUGUGGCCCUAGUACAGAGACUACUCUGACCUGAGCUUUAAUCAUGCAUAAACAGUAUCUAAAAGAGAUUCUCUGUUGGAACUAAUCCUUUCAUACCUUGACUCACAUUCUUCUUUAACCAACAGGAGAUAUUUAAUAGAUUAAACUAUUAAAUAUUAUUCUGGUCCAGACCUGGAUCAUAAAUCCUCAAGAGAACAUUUUCAAUUAAAACAGCCUGAAAUGACCUGGUUUUCAAUGCUCACCAUCUGAUACAUCAUUGUGGUUUAACUUAUUAUUCUAGUAAUGGAACUAUUAGGUGCCACAUCAGCAUCUUAAUGAUAGAUUAGGACAAACCCUGGAAUUAUACAGCUUUGCCUUUUUUCCAAGCCUCUUGACCUUAUUUUCCUAAAUCCAGCCUGACCAAGGAUCUCUUUAAAUUGUUAACAUUGCACAGAUUUUUGUGGCAUGGAAGUACUGAAAAAUAUAUCAUGAGAAAAGCAGAGGCAUUACAGAUGGGGAAGUAGUGGCAAGAACUGGAAAUAAGAACUAGAAAGGAACUGGAGUUUUUACAGUGAUAAAAAAGGUUCACCCUUUCUGUAUUCAUUCUGAAGAAGUUCUGUUUGCUUUGUAUUUGAGGAGGAAUAUUAAUUACCUCAUUUCUCAUCCCAAACUAAUUUACACCACGUCUUUCCCCAAAAACUUGCAAUUACAGCAAGGAGAAAUAGCGUGAGAGCAGACUUUAUUUUACUGCAUAUGACUCUAUACUAAUAUAUACACACCAGUUUGUCUUAAUUACUUCAAAUAUGAACUGACAUCUAUUCAGAGCUGACCAUCCAGCACCCAAUAUCACAGAAAACAAUCUCAUGUUUCAUUCUUUUAAAAACUUUCAUGAAUGUUGCUUUUCUUUGUUAAUUUUGCAUCAUUUUUUCCACUCUUCCAGAUCCUUCAGAGACAUUAAUAUUCUACAAUAUGGCUUGAACUCAGACAGACUCUCAGGCACUGCACCAAGAACCGUUAGCUUUAACAAAAUAUAAUCUCAUUCUGCUUUUUUUCUUACUGCUUAGCCAGUUCCUCAUCUCAUGCUCUGCCUCUCUCUCCCAGUUAGAUGAAAAAUAACACCCCGUGUGGAGCUUUGUCAAAGGCUUUUUGAAACAUGAUCUCUCCAUAAAAGUUGCUGCAAAGAUGUAGACUACACUAAACAGAGAAGGGAUCAGAAGGCCAACUGCCUGGGCAUGACUCAUUUUCUGCCACACAUGUAAGCUGUGCCUCGAGAAAGGCUCAGAGACAGAAAUCAAGACGUCUGUGAUAAAAUGGGGUCUGCAGUUUAAUGAUUGGCUCCUAGUAAGCUCCAAGCUUCACUGCUCUGAAAAGGAAUUGUUUGUGCAAAUCGUUAUGCUGGCUCCCAGCAGACCCUCCUUGUCUAAGUCAUUAAGACUCUCCCUCUUACCACUAUUAGUCACGCUGAGUACUAAUAUUAUUCAUUAUUACUCAUAGUUUAUUCUUUGAAUAAGCUCAUUAAUUUCAGUGAGAAAUUCGCAGUAGGAUGUAUUAGAUAAUCUAUGCAUUUAUGUAUGCAUGUAUGUCUAAUUAAAGGGUAUCAAA